GUACGCCGACAUGGCUCAUGUGCUGGACUCGUUCUUUAGAUUUAACAUCUUAUAUACACACAUAUUAUGCAAA